AGUCUUCUAUAUCCGUUCUGAGAUUUUGUCACACACCAAACCACAAGGUAUGACGAGACUUCCGAGAUAAGUGGUCG
rnacentral:pre_miRNA from 1 species